AUUGAACGCUGGCGGCAUGCCUUACACAUGCAAGUCGAACGGUAACGCGGGGCAACCUGGCGACGAGUGGCGAACGGGUGAGUAAUGCAUCGGAACGUACCCAGUAGUGGGGGAUAGCCCGGCGAAAGCCGGAUUAAUACCGCAUACGACCUAAGGGUGAAAGCGGGGGACCGUAAGGCCUUGCGCUAUUGGAGCGGCCGAUGUCAGAUUAGGUAGUUGGUGGGGUAAAGGCCUACCAAGCCUUCGAUCUGUAGCUGGUCUGAGAGGACGACCAGCCACACUGGGACUGAGACACGGCCCAGACUCCUACGGGAGGCAGCAGUGGGGAAUUUUGGACAAUGGGCGAAAGCCUGAUCCAGCCAUGCCGCGUGCGGGAAGGAGGCCUCGG
rnacentral:rRNA from 1 species